rnacentral:rRNA from 1 species
GCCCUGAAAAUGGAUGGCGCUCUAGCGUCGUGCUUAUACCGGGCCGUCAACGGCACAGUGGGCAGUUACGGUCUCCGUAGCUGCCGUUAAGUCUUGACGAGUAAGAGGGUCGCGACGGUGAGCGCAGAAGGGUCAGGGCGAGAGCCUGCCUGGAGCCGCCGUUGGUGCAGAUCUUGGUGGUAGUAGCAAAUACUCUAGCGAGGGCCUGGAGGACUGACGUGGAGAAGGGUUUCUUGUGAACAGCCGUUGCACAAGAGUCAGUCGACCCUGAGCCCUAGGAGAAAUCCGAUGACGAUGGGUGGCUUGACAAUAUAUGCGCGCACACACAUUGAUCGAACACUUGUGUUCUCUGUGUGACACACAUAAUAUCAUAGACCACAGACUGUGUCUGUCGUUUGAGUUAUGCACAAUGUGCUACUUGCGACUGUACAGCUCCUAUUGGGCAAAAGGGAAUCCGGUUCCUAUUCCGGAACCUGGCUGCGUAACUGCAUCUUUGCGGGCACUUGCUUGCGAGCGCUCGUCGGGGUAACCCAAACUGGCCUGGAGACGCCGGCGGGGGGUCUGGAAAGAGUUUUCUUUUCUUUAUAAGCGUUCGAGUACCCUGGAAUCCUAUAGCAGGGAGAUAGGGUUUGGAACGCGAAGAGCACCGCAGUUGCGGCGGUGUCCGGACCUUCCCCCCGGACCUUGAAAAUCCAGGUGAGGGCCACGCGGAAGUCGCGCCAGAUCGUACCCAUAUCCGCAGCAGGUCUCCAAGGUUAAGAGCCUCUAGUCGAUAGAAUAAUGUAGGUAAGGGAAGUCGGCAAAUUGGAUCCGUAACUUCGGGACAAGGAUUGGCUCUGAGGAUCGGGGUGUGUCGGGCUAGGUCGGGAUGUGGGUUAGCGCCAACGAGCCAGGCCUGAGCACGAGGAAUGGAGAGCAUUUCGGUGCUCUCCAGGAUCCGAGUUCGGUCCUGCGCCUUGGCCUCCCACGGAUCGUCCUUGCUGCGGGGGUCUGUUGACAGUUGCACGCAGACUUGUCUGUGUGUUAACCAGCAGAAUACACCUUCGACCAUCAUUUAACGGUCAACUCAGAACUGGCACGGACCGGGAGAAUCCGACUGUCUAAUUAAAGCAAAGCAUUGCGAUGGCUCUAGCUGAGUGUUUACGCAAUGUGAUUUCUGCCCAGUGCUCUGAAUGUCAACGUGAAGAAAUUCAAGCAAGCGCGGGUAAACGGCGGGAGUAACUAUGACUCUCUUAAGGUAGCCAAAUGCCUCGUCAUCUAAUUAGUGACGCGCAUGAAUGGAUUAACGAGAUUCUCACUGUCCCUAUCUACUAUCUAGCGAAACCACUGCCAAGGGAACGGGCUUGGAAAAAUUAGCGGGGAAAGAAGACCCUGUUGAGCUUGACUCUAGUCUGGCACUGUAAGGAGACAUGAGAGGUGUAGAAUAAGUGGGAGACGGUGGGCUUGCUUGCCGUUCGACUGUGAAAUACCACUACUUUCAUCGUUUCCUUACUUACUCGGAUGGGCCGGAGAGCGUGCCUGUCGUUGUUUCACUCCGGCAGGCCGGUGUUCUUGCGCCAAGCGUCUGAGGGUUGUCAGCAUGUGACGCGCCUGUUCCAGUGCCGGCGGUAGAUGUCCUUGUGACAUUGACCGUUGCCCGGUACGGUUCAGAACGUGCUCGCCUCUGACUGGCAAACACUCCCUCGCGUGUUCCGAUUCGAGGACACAGCCAGGCGGGGAGUUUGACUGGGGCGGUACAUCUGUCAAAUGAUAACGCAGGUGUCCUAAGGCCAGCUCAGCGAGGACAGAAACCUCGCGUAGAGCAAAAGGGCAAAUGCUGGUUUGAUCCCGAUGCUCAGUACGCAUAGGGACU